AUUUAAGAGUUUGAAGAAGAUCCUGAAAGACAACGAUCUCUAAGACACUAUCUUAUUAACGUUGGUGGUGUCACAGCUAGAGAUGCUCUCAACCAAUUUCUGAAGGAAGCCAUGACGGAUAGCCUGACACAAAAAUUCUCUUGGACUGGAAAGUCUGUUUCAGAUAAAGAGAAUCUCCGACCGUUAUUUAAUACCUGUAUCGGAAAGGUAUUUUUUGAUGCUUUACGUGAGUGUUGAACAAUACCACAGCCACAUGAUCGUACAGAAUUUGCGAGACUGAUGCAAGAGGCAAUUCGAGGCGCACGAAAAAGAUUGCAGGAUGCAAAACGACGU